UGAUAACAAAGAGAGCAGCGGUGAGAAUGAGGAGCAGCGGCGAUGACAGAGAGCCUGUGGGUUGGGCAGCGAUGAAAGGCUUUGUGGGGUGGGCGGAACGUGAAUGCAGGGCGGCGGCUGAAGCAAAAGAUUGAGAGAUAAGAGAAAAAGGGAGGAAGGGUUUCGGUUUAUUUGAAAGGAUGCAGCUUGUCUGGUGAGUAAUGAUUGCUCCAAGAGAUUGUUGCCGCAACAAGUCGAUACACGUUGAACAGGGCGAAC
rnacentral:misc_RNA from 1 species